GGAUGUUGUGAACCGGGUCGCGGCGGCCGAGGCUCGGGCCUCCAGGACCACUGGCUGCCCAUGAGAGACGAAGGAUGGCAUCCAAGGGGGCCGGCGUGUCUUUCUCCCGCAAGAGCUGUAGGCUGACCUCAGAUGCUGAGAAAUCCAGGGUCACAGGGACCCGCUGCAGCUGGGAGGGGAGCUGUCCAGGAGGCCGGCCUGGGAAUGAGCACAGGCCUGCGGCUGGCAGAGAGCCGGGUCGAGCCAGCCCUGGAGAAGCAGGCCCAGCUGGAGGAGCAGCUGCGGGACAAGGUGCUCCACGAGAAGGACCUGUCCCAGCAGCAGAUGCAAAGCGACCUGGACAAGGCUGACCUCAGUGCCAGGAGGGUCCCUGGUGGGUGCUGCAUGAGGCAGGCGUCACUGCAGAAGAGUGACAGAGCUGGGCCUGGCAGUGAAGCGUCUACAGAAGCAGAAUCUGGAGAAGGAUCAGGUCGACAAGGACCUCACCGAGAAGCUUGAGGCCCUGGAAUCCCUGCGGCUACAGGAGCAGGCGGCCCUGGAGACAGAGGAUGGAGAGGGGCUACAGCGGAGCCUAAGGGACCUGGCACAGGCCGUCCUGUCUGACGCUGAGAGCGGCAGCCUGCGUCCAACAGCGUCCGACCGCAGCCUGCGGGGGCUCUCGGGCCAGCGGACCCCGUCUCCACCGCGGCGCUCCUCGCCGGGCCGAGGCCGUUCGCCCCGCAGAGGCCCCUCCCCGGCCUGCUCAGAAGACUCCACGCUCGCUUGCCCUGAUUCUCUCCGCCCUGCACUUUUGCCAGCUGAAGGUCCAGGUAGGAAGGGGCUUGAGUUUUCUGGGCGCAGCCAGAGGCCCAGGGGGAGGGGCUCGCGCCCUCCAGGUGGGGGUGGGGGCGUGUCUGGGGGAGGAGUCUGAGCGCCCUGGGGUGCAGCCAGAGCCCUGAGAAAUAGUGUCUGAGGGUGUCAGGACCCCCAAGGAGGUGGUCGAGGGCUCUGCGCUGAAGCCAGCCCAGAAGUGGGGGUGCUUGGGCAGCUGGGGGUGGGUGCUUGGGCAGCCGGUGGAGGGAGGAGGCUGCGACAGUGUUAGGGUCCUGGUAGAGAGGGAGACAGGUCCCUGGUCAUACAGAGCCAGGACCCUGGGAAAAGGUCUAGCAAGGGAAAUCACAGCCUAGGAUGAGAGCUUGGGAACUAGGGGCAGAGCCAGGGUAGGGAGGAGUGUGAGAGUGGAACCAGGAUGCAAGGGGGAGGAGCCUGGGAGCCCUGGGGGUGGGAUCAGAACCCAGGAGACGAGUGUGCCUGGGAGUUUGUCUGGCAUCCCGGGGGCUUUGAUAGGAGUUGUCCGGGACCCCAGGGAGAUGAGGGUUCAGAGGGUGGUGAGGGCACAUAGGAGGGGAGUGGAAGCCUGGCUCUCAGGCCUAGGCCCCUAUCCUGCCCCAGGGCAGGUCCAGGCCCUGGACCCCGCCUAGCGUAGGCUAGUGUGUAUCCCUGGAACCAGAAGAGAGUAGGUGGGCUCUGGAGGCCUCAAAGGACCCCCGCUAGACUCUGUGAUCCCCACGCCCCAGAACAUGCGUGGGCGCUAUGAGGCAAGCCAGGACCUGCUGGGCACCCUGCGGAAGCAGCUUAGCGACAGCGAGAGUGAGCGGCGGGCCCUAGAGGAACACCUGCGUGGCGCCGUCGGUCUUGUCCCGCAGGCACUGGCCAACAUGGCGAAACCCCAUCUCUACUAAAAAUUUAAAAAAUUGCCCAGGCACAGUGGCUAACGCCUGUAAUCCCAGCACUUUGGGAGGCCGAGGCGUGCAGAUCACUUGAGGUCAGGAAUUUGAGACCAGCCUGGCCAACAUGGUGAAACCCCACUUCUAAAUAAAAAUGCAAAAAUUAGCUGGGCGUGGUGAUAGGCGCUUGUAAUCCCAGCUACUCGGGAGGCUGAGGCAGGAGAAUCGCUUGAACUCUGGAGGUGGAGAUUGCAGCAAGCUGUGUGGAGUGCAGUGAGAUUGUGUCACUGCACUCCAGCCUAGGCAAGAGUGAGACUGUGUGU
rnacentral:lncRNA from 1 species